UAUAAACGAAUUUUUGAGUUUUUAGAUAGAAUUUUCAACUCUUCGUCUUAUUUAAAAUAUUUUUAUGAUUAAUAUUUUUAUUGUUACUAUAUGAUAAAAUAUGAAUAGUAUUUUACAUGUGAUUAAUUUUUUUAUUUUUAAUAAAUUUUCAAAUAAGACGGAUGGUCAAACGCUAAUUCUAGAAAACCUAGA
rnacentral:pre_miRNA from 1 species